rnacentral:rRNA from 1 species
AUGCACGCUGGCGGCUUGCCUCAUACAUGCCAGUCGAGCGAACGGACGAGAAGCUUGCUUCUCUGAUGUUAGCGGCGGACGGGUGAGUAACACGUGGAUAACCUACCUAUAAGCCUGGGAUAACUUCGGGAAACCGGAGCUAAUACCGGAUGAUAUUUUGAACCGCAUGGUUCAAAAGUGAAAGACGGUCUUGCUGUCACUUAUAGAUGGAUCCGCGCUGCAUUAGCUAGUUGGUAAGGUAACGGCUUACCAAGGCAACGAUGCAUAGCCGACCUGAGAGGGUGAUCGGCCACACUGGAACUGAGACACGGUCCAGACUCCUACGGGAGGCAGCAGUAGGGAAUCUUCCGCAAUGGGCGAAAGCCUGACGGAGCAACGCCGCGUGAGUGAUGAAGGUCUUCGGAUCGUAAAACUCUGUUAUUAGGGAAGAACAUAUGUGUAAGUAACUGUGCACAUCUUGACGGUACCUAAUCAGAAAGCCACGGCUAACUACGUG